AUAAAAAAAUUAUAUUUUUUUUAAAUCAUGCUGGACAAAUGUUACAGUAACUGCUGUACUAUUCAUCGACACAUUUCAGUGUUUAUUUUCAUGUAAAAAUAAUAGGUAAUAUAGAUGUCUUCUUCUAAGAAAAAAGGUAAUGUUAAGUGGUUUAAUGAAUCUAAAGGAUUCGGUUUUAUUACACCUGAAGAUGGUAGUAAAGAUGUUUUCGUACAUUUUUCUGCUAUUCAAGGUCAAGGAUUUAAAACUCUUGCUGAGGGUCAGUCAGUAGAGUUUGAAAUUACCGAAGGUGCCAAAGGUCCUUCUGCUGCUAAUGUUACCAGCCUGAAUUAAUAAUCAGGCAGAAAAACCCGCUGAAAGCGGGUUUUUUGUU
rnacentral:sRNA from 1 species